rnacentral:rRNA from 1 species
GACGAAUGCUGGCGGCGUGCUUAACACAUGCAAGUCGUACGGUAAGGCCCUUUCGGGGGUCCACGAGUGGCGAACGGGUGAGUAACACGUGAGUAACCUGCCCACAACUUUGGGAUAACGCUAGGAAACUGGUGCUAAUACUGGAUAUGUGCUCCUGCUGCAUGGUGGGGGUUGGAAAGCUCCGGCGGUUGUGGAUGGACUCGCGGCCUAUCAGCUUGUUGGUGGGGUAGUGGCCUACCAAGGCGGCGACGGGUAGCCGGCCUGAGAGGGUGACCGGCCACAUUGGGACUGAGAUACGGCCCAGACUCCUACGGGAGGCAGCAGUGGGGAAUAUUGCACAAUGGGCGCAAGCCUGAUGCAGCAACGCCGCGUGCGGGAUGACGGCCUUCGGGUUGUAAACCGCUUUCAGCAGGGACGAAGCUUUUUGUGACGGUACCUGCAGAAGAAGCACCGGCUAACUACGUG